UGCAGUCGAACGAUGAACCGCUUUCGGGCGGGGAUUAGUGGCGAACGGGUGAGUAACACGUGGGCAAUCUGCCCUGCACUCUGGGACAAGCCCUGGAAACGGGGUCUAAUACCGGAUAUGACUGUCCAUCGCAUGGUGGAUGGUGUAAAGCUCCGGCGGUGCAGGAUGAGCCCGCGGCCUAUCAGCUUGUUGGUGAGGUAGUGGCUCACCAAGGCGACGACGGGUAGCCGGCCUGAGAGGGCGACCGGCCACACUGGGACUGAGACACGGCCCAGACUCCUACGGGAGGCAGCAGUGGGGAAUAUUGCACAAUGGGCGAAAGCCUGAUGCAGCGACGCCGCGUGAGGGAUGACGGCCUUCGGGUUGUAAACCUCUUUCAGCAGGGAAGAAGCGAAAGUGACGGUACCUGCAGAAGAAGCGCCGGCUAACUACGUGCCAGCCCCCCCGG
rnacentral:rRNA from 1 species